AAUAUUGGACAAUGGGCGAAAGCCUGAUCCAGCCAUGCCGCGUGUGUGAAGAAGGUCUUCGGAUUGUAAAGCACUUUAAGUUGGGAGGAAGGGCUUUAGGUUAAUACCCUGAAGUUUUGACGUUACCAACAGAAUAAGCACCGGCUCACUUCUUGCCAGCAGCCGCGGUAAUACGAAGGGUGCAAGCGUUAAUCGGAAUUACUGGGCGUAAAGCGAGCGUAGGUGGUUCGUUAAGUUGGAAGUGAAAGCCCCGGGCUUAACCUGGGAAUUGCUUUUAAAACUGAAGAGCUAGAGUACGGUAGAGGGUAGUGGAAUUUCCUGUGUAGUGGUGACAUGCGUAGAUAUAGGAAGGAACAUCAGUGGCGAAGGCGACUACCUGGACUGACACUGACACUGAGGUGCGAAAGCGUGGGGAGCAAACAGG
rnacentral:rRNA from 1 species